rnacentral:rRNA from 1 species
UACGAAGGGUGCAAGCGUUGUCCGGAUUCACUGGGCGUAAAGGGUGCGUAGGUGGCCAGGUAAGUCUGAUGUGAAAUCUCGGAGCUCAACUCCGAAACUGCAUUGGAUACUAUCUGGCUGGAGGGUCGGAGGGGGGACUGGAAUUCUCGGUGUAGCAGUGAAAUGCGUAGAUAUCGAGAGGAACACCAGUGGCGAAGGCGAGUCCCUGGACGACUCCUGACACUGAGGCACGAAAGCUAGGGGAGCAAACAGG